UGCUUUUACUGUUGCUGAAAUAAUGAUGAUUAUAAACUCCAAAAAGAAAAUUAGCAGCCAGAAUGAAUUUGAAUGACCAAAUGAGAGAAGAGUGCAUCAUAUAUACCCUGAUUCACAAAAGACUGAGAAACAUACAUGCUGGUCCUGAUGCUGGUCCUGAAGAGUCAGUAUUCCCUUUUUGUUUGGGGAGCUGGAAAGGAAUAUCUCACUACUGGAUUUACAAAAAACAUGGGUAAAACUUUUGAAGAAAUCAGAAAUCCAUCAUAAUCUAUUCCAGGAUAAACAAGUUCUACAAAAGCUGAAAGACUGGCAAAUGAAAUAUGAUGUACACCUUUUCGGAUUAUAGCUCACUUUUCCACACAUAAACACAUAUAUAAGGUUGUGUACUGCUUCAGGUUUUAUGCCAAAAGAAUACACAGAAGGCAUGCGUGCAACCAUUGUCUGCAAAUCUUUAAAACAGUUGAGGGUUCUAAUAUUGCUUAGCAAUUGCAGCAGUUAAUUUUGCAAUGACCAUAUGCUCCAAAACUGUUUUUCUAAAUUAAUUCAUGGUUACAUACAUGUUUCUCUUUCCUCUGCUGAGCAAUUCUACUUUGCAACUUGUAUCCCAAAUUUCAGUCUUGUUUGCAGUUGGAUGGCAAUGAGGCAGGACUGAUGUUCUUUAACCUUAAUUGCAGCCAGGCAGAGAAAGCAAGUGUCACUAGUUGGCUCCUAUGAAGAUGGUUCUAUCAGUGUCCACCUGCCUUUUCCAUUUAGAGGCUGAUCCCUUCUCACUAAUCCCCAUGCCUUUUUUCUGCUUUCCCAGAUGCUUGUACCCAAUGGAUGUUUUCACACACAAACGCACACACCCCUCCCAUAACUCUUUACACAAGUACACAUCCUUUCAUUUUUCUCUUAUGGUACCAGCAUAGCUCCAGUGUCACAACAAUCAAAGCAAUAGGAAUCAAGUUGUUCUUUAGCUCCUAUGUUUCCUGUAGUUCCAUGAAAGUUUUCAGGUAAGGAAGAACUGAUAGUUCAGUUUCAAAGGAACAAAGCAGCAAGGUUCCUAUGUUGCAACUUAAAUAUGUUUUUUUUAAAAAAAAAAAAAAAGGCUAGAGAAGAUUUGCAGCACAGAGAGUGAGAAGGUGGGAAAGCAAGGAGAGCGUGUUUCAUUCAACCUGACCAGAAACCAAAAGUGUCCCCACUGGAAAAUCUAUAGUUG